rnacentral:rRNA from 1 species
GAUGAACGCUAGCGGCAGGCUUAACACAUGCAAGUCGAGGGGUAUAUCACUUCGGUGAUAGAGACCGGCGCACGGGUGCGUAACGCGUAUGCAAUCUACCUUAUACAGAGGGAUAGCCCAGAGAAAUUUGGAUUAAUACCUCAUAGUAUUAUGAAAUCGCAUGGUUUUAUAAUUAAAGUUCCAACGGUAUAAGAUGAGCAUGCGUCCCAUUAGUUAGUUGGUAAGGUAACGGCUUACCAAGACAAUGAUGGGUAGGGGUCAUGAGAGGGAGAUCCCCCACACUGGUACUGAGACACGGACCAGACUCCUACGGGAGGCAGCAGUGAGGAAUAUUGGUCAAUGGACGCAAGUCUGAACCAGCUAUGCCGCGUGCAGGAUGACGGUCCUAUGGAUUGUAAACUGCUUUUAUACAGGAAGAAACACUCCCUCGUGAGGGAACUUGACGGUACUGUAGGAAUAAGGAUCGGCUAACUCCGUGCCAGCAGCCGCAGUAAUAC